GACGAACGCUGGCGGCGUGCCUAAUACAUGCAAGUCGAACGCAGUGGGGACGGGUGAGUAACACGUGGGUAACCUCCCAUCAGAGGGGAUAACACUUGGAAACAGGUGCUAAACCGAUACUGAUGGAUGGACCCGCGGUGCAUUAGCUAGUUGGUGGGGUAACGGCGCACCAAGGCAACGAUGGAUAGACGGGCUGAGGGGUUGAUCGGGUACACUGGGACUGAGACACGGACCAGACGCCUACGGUACGCAGCAGUGGGGAAGUGGCGGCAAUGGACGAAAGUCUGAACGAGCAAUGCCGCGUGAGUGAAUAAGGUUUUCGGGUCUUAAGACUGUGUUGUUAGAGCAGCGGUAUCUAACCAGAAAGCCACGGCUAACUACGUGCCAGCAGCCGCGGUAAUAC
rnacentral:rRNA from 1 species